UACGUAGGGAGCAAGCGUUGUUCGGAAUCACUGGGCAUAAAGCGCACGUAGGCGGUUCAGUCAGUCAGAUGUGAAAGCCCCUGGCUCAACCAGGGAACGGCAUUUGAUACUGCUGGACUUGAGGGCGGCAGGGGAGAGUGGAACUCGUGGUGGAGCGGUGAAAUGCGUAGAUAUCACGAGGAACACCGGUGGCGAAAGCGACUCUCUGGGCCGAUCCUGACGCUGAUGUGCGAAAGGCAGGGUAGCGAACGGG
rnacentral:misc_RNA from 1 species